rnacentral:rRNA from 1 species
CCUACGGGAGGCAGCAGUGGGGAAUAUUUGGCAAUGGGCGCAAGCCUGACCCAGCCACGCCGCGUGAAGGAAGAAGGCUCUCGGGUUGUUAACUUCCUUUUAGAGGGGAGAGCAGAAGACGGUGCCUCUCGAAUAAGCUCUGGCUAACUACGUGCCAGCAGCCGCGGUAAUACGUAGGGAGCGAGCGUUGUCCGGAUUUACUGGGUGUAAAGGGCGUGCAGCCGGGAGUACAAGUCAGUUGUGAAAUCCCGCGGCUCAACCGCGGAACUGCAGUUGAAACUGGAGUUCUUGAGUGCUGGAGAGGCAGACGGAAUUCGUGGUGUAGCGGUGAAAUGCGUAGAUAUUAGGAGGAACACCAGUGGCGAAGGCGGGCGGCUGGACAGCAACUGACGGUGAGGCGCGAAAGCGUGGGUAGCAAACAGGAUUAGAUACCCCGGUAGUC